rnacentral:rRNA from 1 species
AUUGAACGCUGGCGGCAUGCUUUACACAUGCAAGUCGAACGGCAGCGCGGGCUUCGGCCUGGCGGCGAGUGGCGAACGGGUGAGUAAUACAUCGGAACGUGCCCAGUAGUGGGGGAUAGCUCGGCGAAAGCCGGAUUAAUACCGCAUACGACCUGAGGGUGAAAGCGGGGGAUCUUCGGAUCUCGCGCUAUUGGAGCGGCCGAUGGCAGAUUAGCUAGUUGGUGGGGUAAAGGCCUACCAAGGCGACGAUCUGUAGCUGGUCUGAGAGGACGACCAGCCACACUGGGACUGAGACACGGCCCAGACUCCUACGGGAGGCAGCAGUGGGGAAUUUUGGACAAUGGGCGAAAGCCUGAUCCAGCAAUGCCGCGUGUGUGAUGAAGGCCUUCGGGUUGUAAAGCACUUUUGGCGGGAACGAAAAGGACUGUGCCAAUACCACGGUUCGAUGACGGUACCCGCAGAAUAAGCACCGGCUAACUACGUG